AACCUGCCCAUGACUCUGGGAUAAGCACUGGAAACGGUGUCUAAUACCGGAUACGAGCUUCAGCCGCAUGGCUAGGAGUUGGAAAGAAUUUCGGUCAAGGAUGGACUCGCGGCCUAUCAGCUAGUUGGUGAGGUAAUGGCCCACCAAGGCGACGACGGGUAGCCGGCCUGAGAGGGUGACCGGCCACACUGGGACUGAGACACGGCCCAGACUCCUACGGGAGGCAGCAGUGGGGAAUAUUGCACAAUGGGCGCAAGCCUGAUGCAGCAACGCCGCGUGAGG
rnacentral:rRNA from 1 species